AAAAGCAAAAGUGGAGACUUUUGAACUUUUGAGAAUCGAGUUUAUUAAAGUCCGUAGAGGUGAAUUCAUUAUUUCAAACGCCUAUCUUUCAAAUUUUGGCGUAAUCGCCUAAAUUCAAGAAAAAUAGCCACAUAUACCCAUAUUUCCUACCUCGAACCAAAGAGCCUAACAAUUGAAAGCCACAAAGCCCCAAUGAUCCCAAUAGCUUAAUGUUCGAUAUUAGUUGAGUAGAAUAAUUUGGUGAGUAUUUGGAGUCAAG
rnacentral:lncRNA from 1 species